GAUCCAUCCAUGCCGCGUGCAGGAAGACGGCCCUAUGGGUUGUAAACUGCUUUUGUACCGGAGAAAACCUUUCCCUGCGGGGAGAGCUGAUCGUACGGUGAGAAUAAGCAUCGGCUAACUUCGUGCCAGCAGCCGCGGUAAGACGAAGGAUGCAAGCGUUAUCCGGAUUCAUUGGGUUUAAAGGGAGCGUAGGCGGUCUAAUAAGUCAGUGGUGAAAUCUCUCGGCUUAACUGAGAAAUGGCCAUUGAUACUGUUGGACUUGAGUACAGAUGCCGUUGGCGGAAUAUGACAUGUAGUGGUGAAAUACAUAGAGAUGUCAUAGAACACCGAUUGCGAAGGCAGCUGACGAAACUGUAACUGACGCUGAGGCUCGAAAGUGUGGGGAUCAAACAGGAUUAGAUACCCUGGUAGUCCACACUGUAAACGAUGAUUACUCGCUGCUGAGGGGUGACCUUCAGUGGCUUAGCGAAAGCGAUAAGUAAUCCACCUGGGGAGUACGCCGGCAACGGUGAAACUCAAAGGAAUUGACGGGGGCCCGCACAAGCGGAGGAGCAUGUGGUUUAAUUCGAUGAUACGCGAGGAACCUUACCAGGGUUUGAAAGUUAGUUGACGGUGGUGAAAGCCUACCUUAGGGAUGACCGAUACUAGUCUGCUGGUGGCGCAGUCGUGCCGGAGGGUGGUAAGU
rnacentral:rRNA from 1 species